GACGAACGCUGGCGGCGUGCUUAACACAUGCAAGUCGAACGGAAAGGCCCUGCUUUUGUGGGGUGCUCGAGUGGCGAACGGGUGAGUAACACGUGAGUAACCUGCCCUUGACUUUGGGAUAACUUCAGGAAACUGGGGCUAAUACCGGAUAGGAGCUCCUGCUGCAUGGUGGGGGUUGGAAAGUUUCGGCGGUUGGGGAUGGACUCGCGGCUUAUCAGCUUGUUGGUGGGGUAGUGGCUUACCAAGGCUUUGACGGGUAGCCGGCCUGAGAGGGUGACCGGCCAGGCGGGGAGGGAGAGGCGGCGCAGACGGCGGGGGGAGGCGGUGGGGGUAAAGCAGGAAUGCGGGGGGGAAGCGUGGCGCGGCAGGGCGGGGGGGGGGAGGCGGGCGGUCGGGUGGGCGCCCGCGUCCGGCGGGGAGGAGGAGGGAGGGACGGUAGUGGAAAACAAGCAACAGGCGACCGAGGUGGCAGCGGCCGCGGUAAUUGACGGAACAGCAAACGGCUGACC
rnacentral:rRNA from 1 species